AUGGUGCUAACUAUGCUGAGUUUGCUGCCUUUAUGCGCAUUCACAUGUGUGGCCUUCGUUUAUGGGGAGUUCUUUCCGGCGAGGUUCCUUGUCCUCAGCGUCCAGUUCCAGCGUCCAGUUCCUCCUGUGGCUCCUAUCCCACCGCCACCUCCACCGGAUCUUGGCGCAGAUGCUUCUGAUGAUGAUAGGGCUGCAGCCCGGGUUGCUGCCAAUGAUGUGGUCGCUGCUUAUGACCAGCAGGUCGCGGUUUAUUCGGAUGCUCUUUCCAUUUAUCGUGAUGAUCUGACUGCUUAUACUCAGUGGUGUGAUGAUGAUGCUCGUGUUGCGGCUGUCCUCACUUCCACUGUUUUACCACAGUUUGCAUCUGAGUUUAUGGGCCUCAGUACUGUGUUUGAGAUGUGGACUCGUCUUCGUCAGCGCUAUCAGCCCUCUGGUGAUGCUCUCUACUUGUCUGUGGUACGUCAAGAGCAUGCUCUUCAGUAG
rnacentral:rRNA from 1 species